UACGUAGGGUGCGAGCGUUGUCCGGAAUUAUUGGGCGUAAAGAGCUCGUAGGCGGUUUGUCGCGUCCACUGUGAAAACCUGGGGCUUAACUCUGGGCCUGCAGUCGAUACGGGCAGACUUGAGUUCGGUAGGGGAGACUGGAAUUCCUGGUGUAGCGGUGAAAUGCGCAGAUAUCAGGAGGAACACCGGUGGCGAAGGCGGGUCUCUGGGCCAUAACUGACGCUGAGAAGCGAAAGCAUGGGGAGCGAACAGG
rnacentral:rRNA from 1 species